rnacentral:rRNA from 1 species
UUUAAAUAGCUGCAGUAUUUUAACUGUACAAAGGUAGCAUAAUAAUUAGUCUUUUAAUUGAGGUCUAGAAUGAAUGGUUUAACAAGAAAAAAACUUUAUUUAAUUAAUUAAUUUGAAUUUAAUUUUUUAGUUAAAAAGCUAAAAUUUUUAAAUGGGACGAUAAGACCCUAUAGAUCUUUAAAUUUUUAGUGUUAAAUACAUUUUAGGUUAUUUAUGGUUUUAAAUAAAAAUUUUUUGUUGGGGUGACAAUUAAAAUUUUAAAACUUUAUUUUUUAGCUACAUAAAUUUAUGGUAUACUUUGAUCCUUAACUUAGGAUUUUAAAAAUAAGAUACCUUAGGGAUAACAGCGUAAUAAAUUUGUAAAGUUCAUAUAGAUAAAUUUGUUUACGACCUCGAUGUUGAAUUAAUUAAAAUUUUUGGAGUAGCCGUUAAAAUUUUAGGUCUGUUCGACCUUUAAAAUAUUACA